rnacentral:rRNA from 1 species
GAUGAACGCUGGCGGCGUGCUUAACACAUGCAAGUCGAACGAGAAUCAACGGAUUGAGGAUUCGUCCAAAUGAAGUUGAGGAAAGUGGCGGACGGGUGAGUAACGCGUGAGGAACCUGCCUCGGAGUGGGGAAUAACAGUUGGAAACAGCUGCUAAUACCGCAUAAUGCAACGGAAUCGCAUGACUCUGUUGCCAAAGAUUUAUCGCUCUGAGAUGGCCUCGCGUCUGAUUAGCUAGUUGGUGGGGUAACGGCUCACCAAGGCGACGAUCAGUAGCCGACCUGAGAGGGUGACCGGCCACAUUGGGACUGAGACACGGCCCAA